GAUAGAGUGAAGGUCCCGCCUCGAGCGGUACCGAGGGAAGAUGGGCCGCGCUGCUGUGCGGCUCCGCAUUCCCGGGGCGUCUCGUUCUCAUUGCGAGUUGAGGCGCACCCAGAGCGUACACGUUGGGACCCGAAAGAUGGUGAACUAUGCCUGGCCAGGACGAAGUCAGGGGAAACCCUGAUGGAGGUCCGUAGCGAUUCUGACGUGCAAAUCGAUCGUCGGAGCUGGGUAUAGGGGCGAAAGACUAAUCGAACCAUCUAGUAGCUGGUUCCCUCCGAAGUUUCCCUCAGGAUAGCUGGUGCUCGAACGAGUCUCAUCCGGUCAAGCGAAUGAUUAGAGGCCUUGGGGCCGAAACGACCUCAACCUAUUCUCAAACUUUAAAUGGGUGAGAUCUCCGGCUUGCUUAAAACAUUUUUGAAGCCGCGAGAUUUAUUU
rnacentral:rRNA from 1 species